GAUGAACGCUAGCGGCAGGCUUAAUACAUGCAAGUCGAGGGGUAGCAAGAUUGUAGCAAUACAAUUGUUGACGACCGGCAAACGGGUGCGGAACACGUACACAACCUUCCUACAAGUGGGGAAUAGCCCAGAGAAAUUUGGAUUAAUACCCCGUAACAUAGCGAUGUGGCAUCACAUUGCUAUUAUAGCUUCGGCGCUUGUUGAUGGGUGUGCGGCUGAUUAGAUAGUUGGCGGGGUAACGGCCCACCAAGUCUACGAUCAGUAGCUGAUGUGAAAGCAUGAUCAGCCACACGGGAACUGAGACACGGGCCCGACUCCUACGGGAGGCAGCAGUAAGGAAUAUUGGACAAUGGACGCAAGUCUGAUCCAGCCAUGCCGCGUGAAGGAUUAAGGUCCUCUGGAUUGUAAACUUCUUUUAUAAGGGACGAAAAAAGGUCUUUCUAGAUCGUCUGACGGUACCUUAUGAAUAAGCACCGGCUAACUCCGUGCCAGCAGCCGCAGUAACAC
rnacentral:rRNA from 1 species